rnacentral:rRNA from 1 species
AUUGAACGCUGGCGGCAGGCUUAACACAUGCAAGUCGAGCGAGCGGCGGACGGGUGAGUAAUGUCUGGGAAACUGCCUGAUGGAGGGGGAUAACUACUGGAAACGGUGGCUAAUACCGCAUACUAUCAGAUGAACCCAUAUGGGAUUAGCUAGUAGGUGGGGUAAAGGCUAACCUAGGCGACGAUCUCUAGCUGGUCUGAGAGGAUGAUCAGCCACACUGGAACUGAGACACGUCCCAGACGCCUACGGGAGGCAGCAGUGGGGAAUAUUGCACAAUGGGCGCAAGCCUGAUGCAGCCAUGCCGCGUGUAUGAAGAAGGUCUUCGGGUUGUAAAGUACUUUCAGCGGGGAGGCGUUACCCGCAGAAGAAGCACCGGCUAACUCCGUGCCAGCAGCCGCGGUAAUUC